CAGACAUAGUAGGAACGAUCUUGACACCAAUACAACAGAAAUAGAUGAAGCACAAAUGAAUCAAAAUGACGAAUAACGUAGGCAGUAAAGACGAUUGAAGUUGAACAGCUAGACAGUGAGUAAAGUGUUAUAUAGAAUUGUGGGCGAAAAAACACAGUGGAGGCGUAUAAAUGGUAGUACUAGAUCACCAAACCGACCAUGCAACAACGAAACAUAGACAACACUACAGGCUGAAUGUUUUUGGACAGCUACGAAUAAUUCUUUGUAAGUUUAUGUUAUAUGUAAAACCACUUUUAAUAAUUAAUGUAUCAUGUCUCUGUCUGUAAACCAAAUAAAAUUAGAUCCCUGAGGAAGAUCCAAAUCGGGAUCGAAACGUU